CCUACGGGUGGCAGCAGUGAGGAAUAUUGGUCAAUGGACGAGAGUCUGAACCAGCCAAGUAGCGUGAAGGAUGACUGCCCUAUGGGUUGUAAACUUCUUUUAUAUGGGAAUAAAAUGUUCCACGUGUGGGAUUUUGUAUGUACCAUAUGAAUAAGGAUCGGCUAACUCCGUGCCAGCAGCCGCGGUAAUACGGAGGAUCCGAGCGUUAUCCGGAUUUAUUGGGUUUAAAGGGAGCGUAGGUGGAUUGUUAAGUCAGUUGUGAAAGUUUGCGGCUCAACCGUAAAAUUGCAGUUGAAAAUGGCAGUCUUGAGUACAGUAGAGGUGGGCGGAAUUCGUGGUGUAGCGGUGAAAUGCUUAGAUAUCACGAAGAACUCCGAUUGCGAAGGCAGUUCACUGGACUGCAACUGACACUGAGGCUCGAAAGUGUGGGUAUCAAACAGGAUUAGAUACCCGAGUAGUC
rnacentral:rRNA from 1 species